UGGAGUUUUGCUUUCUGCGCCGAAG
rnacentral:piRNA from 1 species